rnacentral:misc_RNA from 1 species
CCAAUAGCGUAUAUUAAAGUUGUUGCAGUUAAAAAGCUCGUAGUUGAAUUUCGGGACUAAUAUGUCGGUCGUGCCUCGGUACGUACUGGUAUUUUUGGUUUCUCCCUUCUGACGAACCUUGAUGUCAUUAAUUUGGUGUCUUGGGAAAUCAGGACUGUUACUUUGAAAAAAUUAGAGUGUUUAAAGCAGGCUCACGCUUGAAUACAUUAGCAUGGAAAAAUGAAAUAGGACGUUUGAUUCUAUUUUGUUGUUUUCUAGGAUCGACGUAAUGAUUAAUAGGGAUAUUUGGGGGCAUUAGUAUUCAAUUGUCAGAGGUGAAAUUCUUGGAUUUAUUGAAGACUAACUACUGCGAAAGCAUUUGCCAAGGAUGUUUUCAUUAAUCAAGAACGAAAGUUAGGGGAUCGAAGACGAUCAGAUACCGUCGUAGUCUUAACCAUAAACUAUGCCGACUAGGGAUCGGAUGAUGUUAAUUUUUUAAUGACUCAUUCGGCGCCUUACG